UACGGAGGGUGCGAGCGUUGUCCGGAAUCACUGGGCGUAAAGGGCGCGUAGGCGGCCUGAUAAGUAGGGGGUGAAAUCCUGCGGCUUAACCGCAGGGCUGCCUUCUAAACUGUCAGGCUGGAGCACAGUAGAGGCAGGUGGAAUUCCCGGUGUAGCGGUGGAAUGCGUAGAGACCGGGAAGAACAUCAGUGGCGAAGGCGGCCUGCUGGGCUGUUGCUGACGCUGAGGCGCGACAGCGUGGGGAGCAAACAGG
rnacentral:rRNA from 1 species